GACGAACGCUGGCGGCGUGCUUAACACAUGCAAGUCGAACGGAAAGGCCCUGCUUUUGUUGUUUGCUCGAGUGGCGCACGGGUGAGUAACACGUGAGUACCCUGCCCUUUACUUUGGGAUAUCUUCAGGAAACUUGGGCUAAUACCCGAUAUGAGCUCCUGCUUCAUGUUGGGUUUUGUAAAGUUUCGGCGGUUGGUGCUGGACGCGCGGCUUAUCAGCUUGUUGGUGGGGUAGUGGCUUACCAAGGCUUUGACGGGUAGCCGACCUGAGAGGGUGACCGGCCACAAGAGGACUGAGAGACGGACCAGAAGGCUACGGGAGGCAGCAGUGGAGAGUAUUGCGGAGUGAGCGGGAGCCUGAGGCAGAGACGCCGCGGGCGGGAUGACGGGCUGCGGGUGGUAAACAGGUAUCGCAGGAGACGAAGCGUGAGUGACGGUAAUGGGUAAAGAAGCAACGGCUAACUACGUG
rnacentral:rRNA from 1 species